GACGAACGCUGGCGGCGUGCCUAAUACAUGCAAGUCGAACGCAGUGGGGAUGGGUGAGUAACACGUGGGUAACCUCCCAUCAGAGGGGAUAACCCUUGGAAACAGGUGCUAAACCGAUAUUGACUGAUGGACCCGCGGUGCAUUAGCCAGCUGGGGGGGUAACGGCUUACCAAGGCCACGAUGCAUAGCCGGCCUGAGAGGGUGAUCGGCCACACUGGGACUGAGACACGGCCCAGACUCCGACGGGAGGCAGCAGUGGGGAAUCUUCGACAAUGGACGAAAGUCUGACCGAGCAACGCCGCGUGAGUGAAGAAGGUUUUCGGAUCGUAAAACUCUGUUGUUGGAGAGGCGGUAUCUAACCAGGAAGCCACGGCUAACUACGUGCCAGCAGCCGCGGUAAUAC
rnacentral:rRNA from 1 species